rnacentral:misc_RNA from 1 species
AAGUCGUAACAAGGUUUCCGUAGGUGAACCUGCGGAAGGAUCAUUAACGUAUCUCUGACGGGGCGCGGCGAGCCCUGCUCCGGUCAAAACGGCCGUGCAGCGGGUUCCCGUCCCUGCUCACACCUUACAAACCCACUGUGAACCUUCACGGCGGACGGGAGGCGACUCCCCGAUGCCGCAUACCAAACCCCAGUAGUAAAGAAUGUCGUGCGGACUUUGCGCCGCCUAAAACACGAAACAACUUUCAACAACGGAUCUCUUGGCUCUC